rfam:Aedes albopictus isolate Foshan contig59153, whole genome shotgun sequence.
GGCUCGGUAGCUUAGUUGAAAAAGCACUUGUCUAGCGUAUAAGGGUCAUGAGUUCAAAUCUCACCUGAGCUG